CAUUACACAAUAUGAAGGCGGGCUGGACACCCUCCAGCCGGGCACUGCUUCACGGCGUGCGCGGCUGGAGCCGGCCCUGCUGAAUUAUUCACCCGUGUCUUUUGCGUACUUCUUGUUUCCUGGGUGGGCUCGCCCGCCAUCAGGACCAACCAUAAACCUUUUUGUAAUAGCAAUCAGCGUCAGUAACAACGUAAUUAAUUACAACUUUCAACAACGGAUCUCUUGGUUCUGGCAUCGAUGAAGAACGCAGCGAAAUGCGAUACGUAGUGUGAAUUGCAGAAUUCAGUGAAUCAUCGAAUCUUUGAACGCACAUUGCGCCCUUUGGUAUUCCAAAGGGCAUGCCUGUUCGAGCGUCAUUUGUACCCUCAAGCUUUGCUUGGUGUUGGGCGUCUUUUGUCUCCAGCUCGCUGGAGACUCGCCUUAAAGUCAUUGGCAGCCGGCCUACUGGUUUCGGAGCGCAGCACAAGUCGCGCUCUUGCCCAGCCAAGGUCAGCGUCCAGCAAGCCUUUUUUCAACCUUUGACCUCGGAUCAGGUAGGGAUACCCGCUGAACUUAAGCAUAUCAAUAA
rnacentral:misc_RNA from 1 species